rnacentral:rRNA from 1 species
GCUGAAAGAUGGCCUCGCGUCUGAUUAGCUAGUUGGCGGGGUAACGGCCCACCAAGGCGACGAUCAGUAGCCGGACUGAGAGGUUGAACGGCCACAUUGGGACUGAGAUACGGCCCAGACUCCUACGGGAGGCAGCAGUGGGGAAUAUUGGGCAAUGGGCGCAAGCCUGACCCAGCAACGCCGCGUGAAGGAAGAAGGCUUUCGGGUUGUAAACUUCUUUUAAGAGGGAAGAGCAGAAGACGGUACCUCUAGAAUAAGCCACGGCUAACUACGUGCCAGCAGCCGCGGUAAUACGUAGGUGGCAAGCGUUGUCCGGAUUUACUGGGUGUAAAGGGCGUGCAGCCGGGUCUGCAAGUCAGAUGUGAAAUCCAUGGGCUCAACCCAUGAACUGCAUUUGAAACUGUAGAUCUUGAGUGUCGGAGGGGCAAUCGGAAUUCCUAGUGUAGCGGUGAAAUGCGUAGAUAUUAGGAGGAACACCAGUGGCGAAGGCGGAUUGCUGGACGAUAACUGACGGUGAGGCGCGAAAGUGUGGGGAGCAAACAGGAUUAGAUACCCUGGUAGUCCACACUGUAAACGAUGAAUACUAGGUGUGCGGGGACUGACCCCCUGCGUGCCGCAGUAAACACAAUAAGUAUUCCACCUGGGGAGUACGAUCGCAAGGUUGCAACUCAAAGGAAUUGACGGA